UACGUAGGGCGCAAGCGUUGUCCGGAAUUAUUGGGCGUAAAGAGCUCGUAGGCGGCCUGUUGCGUCCGCUGUGAAAUCCCGGGGCUCAACCCCGGGCCUGCAGUGGAUACGGGCUGGCUAGAGGCAGGCAGGGGAGAACGGAAUUCCUGGUGUAGCGGUGAAAUGCGCAGAUAUCAGGAGGAACACCGAUGGCGAAGGCAGGUCUCUGGGCCACUACUGACGCUGAGAAGCGAAAGCAUGGGGAGCGAACAGG
rnacentral:rRNA from 1 species